GAUGAACGCUGGCGGCGUGCCUCAUGCAUGCAAGUCGAACGGGAACACUUUUAGUAGCAAUACUGGAGGUGUUCUAGUGGCGAUCGGGUGAGUAACACGUAGGUGACCUACCCCAAAGAGGGGGAUAACGGCCCGAAAGGGCUGCUAAUACCCCAUGUGGUUGGCGAUUCGAUUCGUCAAUUAAAGGUUCCGCAAGGAGUCCGCUUCGGGAGGGGCCUGCGGCCCAUCAGGUGGUUGGUGGGGUAAUGGCCUACCAAGCCGUUGACGGGUAGCUAGU
rnacentral:rRNA from 1 species